GGAUUGUGGCUCAGUGGCAGAGUGCUUGCCUCACACGUAUAGGUUACUGGGUUUGAUCCCCAGAACCA
rnacentral:tRNA from 1 species